rnacentral:tRNA from 1 species
AGAAAAUAAUUUAAGUAAAAAUAUAAGACUUCAAAUCUUAGUUUAUGGGUUGCCAUUUUUCUUG